CGUGUGGUGAGCACAAUGUGAACUAUUCUUUCGCCUUUUACUAAAGAAUACUGUGUGCUUUUUACCAAAAAAAAAAAAAAACAAAUAAAUAAUGUGAAUUUUACAAGGGAAAAUUU